CCGAGUCCCAGGGCGCAGACUGUCCCUCGAAGAAGCGCUGUGAACAAAAGACACACCAGCGGGAGGUGAAACAUGGCGGCAUUGGGAAGCCCUUGAAUGCAAAAGACAAAGAGAAUAAAAGGGAGAUUUCCCAAAGGAGAGGCUCUCUGAAGCAGAGUCUGACCUCAACGACGGAGGAAGAAGAGAAUAGAAGAGCGUCCCUGCGGCGAUUAAUAAAACAUUGAGUCAAUGCUCCGUUAUUCCGCGAAAAGUAGCUGGAAUGCCGUCAGAAUGAUCGCCUCGCCUUGGUGACCCCUCCGCUGCGUUCUCCCGCUGCUUUGUUGCCGCAAAUCUCCUCUGUUUGUUCAAUUUCCCGGCAUAUGGCGGCGUACGAGGAGACCCCCUGCCGUCCAAUUGCUCCGAGGGUCUCGGUGUGAUGCUAAUGGCGCAGCCGUUUUCCUUGGCGAAAAAAAUUGACAAAAAUGUGACAUUAUCAUGCUGCCGGUCGCAUUUGCUCUUUUUAAUCGGCAAUUAAGAGAGCAAACAAAAAGACGAGGUUGUGUGUAAGUGCGACACAGGAGGAGGUGGCGAGAGGCCUCCCUCCUUGCUUUCAAAUGUCAAUAUUCCGUUUAUGCCUCCGCCAAAACAAAAAAUACAGUAGUAAGCUUGACACGAUCAGGGUUCUGGUGUAAAAAAAA